rnacentral:rRNA from 1 species
CCUACGGGUGGCUGCAGUGAGGAAUAUUGGUCAAUGGGCGUAAGCCUGAACCAGCCAAGUCGCGUGAGGGAUGAAGGUUCUAUGGAUCGUAAACCUCUUUUAUAAGGGAAUAAAGUGUGGGACGUGUCCUAUUUUGUAUGUACCUUAUGAAUAAGGAUCGGCUAACUCCGUGCCAGCAGCCGCGGUAAUCCGGAGGAUCCGAGCGUUAUCCGGAUUUAUUGGGUUUAAAGGGUGCGUAGGCGGCCUUGUAAGUCAGCGGUGAAAGUCCGUGGCUCAACCAUAGAAUUGCCGUUGAAACUGGGAGUCUUGAGUAUGUGAGAGGGAGGCGGAAUGCGUGGUGUAGCGGUGAAAUGCUUAGAUAUCGCGCAGAACCCCGAUUGCGAAGGCAGCCUGCCAGGCCAUCACUGACGCUGAGGCACGAAAGCGUGGGGAUCGAACAGGAUUAGAUACCCUAGUAGUC